CACGUAGGGGCAAGCGUUGUCCGGAUUUAUUGGGCGUAAAGAGCUCGUAGGCGGCUCAGUAAGUCAGGUGUGAAACCUCCAGGCUCAACCUGGAGACGCCACCUGAUACUGCUGUGGCUAGAGUCCGGUAGGGGAGCGUGGAAUUCCUGGUGUAGCGGUGAAAUGACGCAGAUAUCAGGAGGAACACCAGCGGCGAAGGCGGCGCUCUGGGCCGGAACUGACGCUGAGGAGCGAAAGCGUGGGUAGCAAACAGG
rnacentral:rRNA from 1 species